rnacentral:lncRNA from 1 species
GUCCCGGUGAGGCUUAUCCUCCUCCUCCUCCACCGCCAUCUAAAGUCAUGGAGCCAGUAACUGCUUAUCCGAUGAGCAACGCUCCUUAUCCUCCUCCUCCUUCAGUACCAUAUGGUAAUUCAUAUGGAUAUGAUAUGCCUCAACAGCAGGUACAUACGGGUUAUCCGCCUGUUCAACCACAACCUCCACUAUAUGGAGGAUACGCACCAGGCCCUCUACCAUACGGCCAACAGGCAUAUGGAGGUACAAGUGCAGGUUACGGUGCAGCUGGAGCUGCUUAUCCAGCACCGGGAGGUUAUGGGUACAACGGUUAUGCCCCUCCUCCUCCUCCGCCUGUACAAAAACCCCCAAAGAAGAACAAACUUGGGUUGGGAUUGGGAUUGGGUGCGGGUUUGUUGGGUGGAUUGCUGGUCGGUGAUGCUAUCGGAGAUAUUUCUUCAUCGGGUUAUGAAGACGGUUACGAUGCUGGAUUCGACGAUGGAGGCGGUUUCGACUUUUGAUCGUAUAGUGAUGAAGUCAUUGAAUUAUUAGUUUAUGAGCUAUGAUUAGCUUAAUAGACGUGAUUAGCGUACACAACAAAACUUGAAUUUGCUUUAUUUAAUUUAAUUAUUCACUGUUGUACUGUUAAUCUGUGUUUAUAAUAUAUAAUAUAAGACAGACAUUAGCUACUGUAAUUGUGACAAUUAUAUGAGAAUUAAUAAUCUUGACCCUGAAAACCAGUUUAAUUACUGUACUUGUCACAUUAUUAUUGACCAUAAUCUAUUUUAAGAAAUGUAUGUAAGGGUGAAAACUGAGCUGGUCGCCCCCGUGCCCUGGAGAGAUGGUUAAAGAAAGAAAGUAAUUUGUACAUAUCACAAAUUAAAAAUCGAUUAUUGGAACAUGGUUAUAAAAACAAAUUAAAACUCAUUUCUUAAUUGCAAGGGUUGGUGCUAACUCCGUCAUGAAAUCUCGACAACUGCCUGACGCCCAGACUUGGGACAUGUAAAACUUGCACAACUCAACUGCCCACUUUGUCAGCCUCUCUGAGACACCUGGUUUAUGAAGUAGUUGCAGUAACGGGUAUUCUGUCGGGAUAAUGACUUGGUGGGCCUAGAAAUAAGGUUUCAGUCUCCCCACGACUGACACCACAGCUAAGGCCAAUUUUUUGAUUUGUGGGUCUCUUGCCUCGGCACCCUGUAGGGAGCACGAGUGGUAGUAGACCAGUCUUUGCAUUCCCUCCCUUUCUGAUAUCAAGACUGUACUGACGGCCGUGUUUAACGCGGCCACAUACGGUGUGAGAGGUUCUCACGGGACCGGUGGUUGCAAGGUAGGUAGGCGUGUGAGUUGUUCCUUUAGGAGUCCAAAUGCCUUGUCGCAUUCGUCCAUCCACAGGUCCUUGAACGAGUGGAGACUCCCCACGAUGAGCUCCCAGUUAGCUUUACAACAAAAAUUCGGUAUUCGACGAACUAUUCGGUUCGUUUCGAGAUCGAUUCGAUUAUUAAACGAACCGAACCAGAACCUUUAAAAUAGAUUCGUUUAAUUAAACGAACCGAACCCAAACCUUAUAUUUUAUUAUUUUAUAUUUAUAUUAGAAACUUAUAUUAUAUUAUAUUAUAUAAUUAUAAUUUUAUAUUAUAUAUUAUAUAUUUUUACAAUGGUUUUUAAUCAACAAGAAGAAAAGAUGAGAUUGGCUCAAUAAAAGAAAAUAAACUAUAAACAAUGUUUUUUUUUAUUGUUUUUUUUUUAAAAAUGGUCAGAUUGACAUGUUUAUUUUUUUUAAUGUUUAUUUUUAGGAUAAAAAAAGUUCAGUGUUCGAUGAACUAUUCGGUUUGGAUUCGGGUUCGGUUAGAUUCGGUUCGGUUAUUAAACGAACCGAACCCAAACCCAAUAGUAGGCUCGUUUAUUUAGUAUUUGCUUUGGUUCGGUAGGUUCGAGUUGCAACGCUACUCCCAGUACCACCUCACAACUUAUCCUUUAAGCGUUCUUCUGAACAUACGGCACCAGAUGUCCUUUUGUCCUGUCGUAUCCUCCAUACCUGUACGGAACAAAUACAGAUGGUCUCCCAGGUCGGUGACCCCCUUGUACAUUGCCAACUUUGGGGCCAUCCAUCACACCGGAUAUCCUUCCAUCAAGCCAUGCGGGCGGCGCUUCGUCCCCCCCUUUUGACUCCAUGGUAUUCCUGACCAUGGAUAACUUCAUGAUUUGUCUUACAGUUGCCUCUAACUGUUUUGAAGUUCCAAGAUGACCGACAACAUCUAGUCAUCCCUUCUCUCCCGCCGCAGAUCACGACGUUCCUCUUCUCGCUGAUACCUUUCUUGGCAUUCCUGACGUCUCUCAGACGUACAUGAUCUUGACCUACCAUGCCUAAUCGAGCUAGGGCGGUCGUCUGUGUGUACCGGUGUAGGGGAUCUGUUGGCGGGACGUAACCUCCUGCCUCUUUCGCGUUGGUAAGAUCGGUAUGAUUCCUUUCCCAACCCUUCCUUCGCUUGGUCUCUCCUCUCUGGGGUAACGUCCCCUCAAACGACGAGUAACUAGACUUGACGCUGAGUCGCUUGCUCCACCUCCAACCCAAAGUCUUCCUCUGUCUGUACCACGCGCUCCUGGUGAAUCCAUCCAGUUAACGUGAAAUUGCAUCAUAUCAGGUUCACCACUGAUGACUUGGUAUCAAAUGUGAUACCAAACAAUCUCUCUAUAGUAAUGUAUUUCGUACAAAUAAAUCACCCCCUCCUCAAGUUUAACCCUUAGGGGUAUUUAUACAAUUUCCUAUUAGGCUUGACACACUAUUGGAUCAGGGCCAGUGGGCCAGACCGGGGUCAGUGGAUCUGGUCUGAUGAACCAGAAUCAUCACAAAACAUAAAAUACAAAAACAUUACAAAAUAAAGAACUUAGGAAGAUUACAUUACCUCAUAGGAAUUGAAAUAGCUCACUCAGACCAAGGUAUUUUCUUAUCACAAAGAAAAUACACAUUGGAUUUUUUUUAAUGAGAAUGGACUAUUGAUUGGAGAAAUGAUAAAAUUAAGGCUGUAAUUGAUCCAUUUAUCUAUAGGAGAUUGAUUGGAAGAUUAAUGUAUUUAAACAUUAUUAGGCCAGACAUUACAUAUACUGUAAGGACACUGAGCCAAUUCAAUUGCAUCGGGCCGGAUGCAGUGUACAAACAGCUAAAAUAUUUAAAACAAUCUCCUGGACAGGGAAUAAUGAUACAUAAGGACAAGCCACGAGAGCUUAAAGCAUAUUUGAUUAAGAUUGAGGUUCAUGCAUUCUAACAAGAAAAUCAAUGACUAGGUUUUGUGUUUUCUUAUGUGAUAGUUUAAUUUCAUGAAAAUCAACGAAACAGAAAACAAUCUCUCUAUCCUCAGAUGAGGGAGAGUACAAAGCCAUGUCAUCAACAAUUAGAGAAGUAGUAUGACUAAGACAAUCACUCUUAGAAAUGAGCAUCAAUUAUCAAAGGCAACUAUAAUCAUCAUGUGUGAUAACAAAUCAAUAAUGUAUAUAGUCGAUAAUCAGUCUUCCAUGACAUUUCACAAGAAAAUAGUUAGUAACAAAGGAAAUUUCUCUAAAAUAUGUCGAAAUAAAGAAUCAGGUAGUUGACACCUUCACUAAAUGUGUUGGAGAAACACAAAUGUUUGAAGUAUCAGUAAAAUUAGGCAUUAAGGACCUUUCAAUUCUUUCAUCCCCAAUUCUGUUCGAAAUGGACCUGUAAUAUAUUAUAUAAUUUUGAUAUGUUACUGUUAUACAAAAUUAAGAAAAUCAGCCUAAGUAAUUUAAUAGUCUACCUUUAUUUACAUUAUUUUAUUGACGUUUAAAAAGAGAAUUUUGGAAAUUAAAAUAUUUACUGAGGUUGGGUUACCCUCCUAGAACGAUAAAAUCGGACAAUUAAUUUAAUUUCCCCGAAAGCUCAUUGCAAAAUCGAUUCGUGGUACGUAUAGACUCGCAAAAUCCGAUGUAGAUAGAUAGUUAAUAUUUCUAUAGUCAACUUUAAUCGUGUCCACAAAUUGAACAUUUACACAAAACACCUUUGAUUAUUAUUUCUAUACAUAUAUAGAAUUUUCACACACUAUCAUCCUGUAUAAAUACUCCGAUCUCUCUCCCUUACUCUGAAUCCUCAAAUUAAUUUGCAGCCAUGGCAAUGUCUAAGACCACCACCAAAAGUCACAGACAAUUAGAUCUCACUCUCAUCUCCGCCAGAGAUUUAAAGGACGUCAAUAUUAUCUCCAAAAUGGACGUUUACGCCUUCAUUUCACUCUCCGACGAUGCUGCCGGAAAUUGCCAACGCACUCCUAUCUGCACGGACUGCGGGACAAACCCUAACUGGAACUUUUCGAUGCGAUUCAUCGUACCUAAUUCCGUACCAGAACACAAACAAACUCUACGCGUUCAGGUCCGCUCCCAAUGUGUUCUCGGCGAUCGUCAUGUCGGCGAGGUUGUUAUCCCGAUCGAUGACUUCGAAUCAGAUCGCGACGUCAAGUAUGCGACUUAUCAGGUUAUGAACAGUUCCGGCAAGUCCAUGGGGGUUCUCAACAUCUCCUAUCAAUUAGGAGACUCCACAUCUUCAUCCGCCGCACAGCCGGUACAUGCUCAUCAGAUGUGUUCAUGUGGUACGAGUCGUCCUGGUAAGGCUUAUCCUCCUCCACCACCGCCAUCUAAACCCGUGGAGCCAGUGACUGUUUAUCCGAUGAGCAACGUUCCUUAUCCUGCUCAACCACAGCAUCCGGCGUACGGAGGAUACGUACCAGGCCCCCCACCAUACGGCCAAAAGGUAUAUGGAGGUUAUGCUCCUCCUCCUCCACCUGUGCAAAAACCGCCGAAGA